CCCAUUUAACCUAACCUAAUACCUAACCUUAUAAAAUAUAGCAAGACCCUAGACCCAAGACCUAGACUAAAAAAAAAGCAAAACACGGUAGCCUUACUCUUUAUUCUCCAACAUUGCAAAUACCAUUUCUCACCAAAACCAGGCUAUGAAUUAACGCUCAAAACGUCCCCCAAAAGUCAGCCCUUAAGCUCCUCAAAAUUCCACCUGAAACUAACGUGAAAAUAGGCCAAGACGCGGCUAAAAAUCAGUUGGGAACUCAGCUGAAAUCUGACAUUGAAAUGCACCAAAAUCAGCCGCGAAACAGCUCGAAACCAACUGUUUUCAUCCAUAAAUCUAGCAAGGUCCGACUCUAACGGCUUGAUUUUGGUCGAGUUAGAAGAGGUCGAUGUUUGAGGUUUGGUUGAGUGCUCGAUGCUCCGGCCUUCGUUGAUUUCCAUUUCCAAAACCGAAAUUGCCGGCUUUUCUGUAUGUAGCAAAAGGUUAGAAUUUAUCAAUAAAGCUCUUUUUUCUUCUAUUAAUUCAUUCUUGCUUGAGUAGUUAAUAUUGUGCUCUUCGAUAAUUUUGCAGAUUUGUUUGGUUUGCUCUGUUUUCUUUGGUUUUACUUACUGAUUUUCAGUUUUCCUUUACUAGCUUACAACUGCAAUUUAAUGGUAGUAGUUAUGCUUUAGAUUCCAUUUGUGUGUUUGCUAUUAUCUGUUAAUUAGGUUAGUUGGACAAGGUUUCAUUGUAAUUUAAUGCGGUUUAAAAUUCAGGUAGGUUGGUUCGAUGUUCGAUGAGUGGGUCAACGUGUAUAGUCUUGUAAAAUGGAAGUGUGUCGUUGGUUUAAUUUAAAGUUAGGUCAUUUGGGUUACUGGGACAAGACUAAAAUCAGAUUUUACCUUAAUUUUAUUUGCUUGGUUUUGAAAGUAUAUGGGACAAAACUUUGUCGAACCCAUUUCCCUAACAAAUCAUAAUUUGGUGUAUCUACUUGCAUACCAAAUCAAAUUAACAAAUAUUAGUAAGUUAUAAGCAUGAUAGUAGUAAAAUCAACCAUGUAAAUAAUUUUACUGAUCAAUUCUAUCACAUGAUCCACAAAUGAACCCAUAACUCAUGGCCCUCAUAAAUUAAAUUAAGAGCUAACACUUGUAAUUGCUAUAGUUAAAUAUAUUUCCUUUAAAAAGAAAAUGGGUUGAAGUGUGUCAUCCAUAAAUUAGAUCAUCCAUAGCCCUCACAAAUAUUGUAACUGAGAUACUAAAAUGAAUCUUCGUAGUUGCUUUAGGCGCGCUACAUUAAAUUAUCAUGACUACGAGUACGGCUCCCGUGACGUAGUUGUGAUUGCUAAAAUCCGGGUGUACAUUUUAUGUGACCCGACUUCAAUUUCCAACAAUGUUAAAUAAAACGUGUCGCGAACGGCGGGUGCAUUUCAUGUAGCGUGGUUUAAGAUGUAUUUUAAAUAACAUUGAAUUUUUCUGAAAAACAGUAAAAGUGGGUAAAAAGUCGUAAAAGUGCAUAUAGGUUUAAAAUGCAUAAUUAAUCAGAUAAUAGGCCAAUAUUAACAGUUUAAGCGACCGUGCUAGAACCACGGAACCCGAGAAUGCCUAACACCUUCUCCCGGGUUAACAGAAUUCCUUAUCUAGAAUUUCUGGUUCGUGGACUUUAAAAAAUAAAAAUUUCCUCUAUUUGAGAUUUUAAAAUAAACCGGUGACUUAAAACACCAAAUAAACUAUUCCAAGUGGCGACUCUGAUAAAUUAAAUAAUCUCAUUUCGAUUUAUGUCACUUUAAUUGGAAAAACUCUCAUAUACUCUCUCGAUGUAUAAAAAGAAGGUGUGGCGGUGGAUAUCAUAGAGGACUAUAAAGUAUGUUUUGGUGGAAUGAAUUUGUCAUGUAUAAUACUCCAUCAGUAUAUGAUAUACCAGAUUGGUAUCAUAGUGGUCUAAGUAUUUUCCUCGAAGGAAUGAACUAGACCUUAAUGAUACCUUGUCAAUAUAUGAUAUAUACUAUAUGGGAAUUACAGAGGUCUGUGUGUCUUUUUGAAAGUAAUGCACCAAACAUCUAUGAUACUCUAUUAGUAUAUGAUAUAUAUCAUGUGGGUAUCAAAGAGGACAUGAGUAUUAUUUUUUCUGAAGAAAUGAACCAGUCCUCUAUUAUACCCUCUUAGUAUAUGAUAUAAAUCAUGUGGGUAUGAUAGUAUACUGCAAUGAUAUACUUCAACUACUAUAAAUAUAUUAUUUUUGGUACACUAUAUGAUAGAAUAAGUUAUUCUCUGCUAACUAAUAUUUAAAAAAAGAUAUAUGAUAGCAAUUAUCAAUUUUAUUGAUAUAGUAAAAAGGAAAGAGAGAGAAAAAAAUAAAAAAGAACAAAAACAAAGGAGCAAAAAGGUGUGAGAAAUUAGAUUAUGAAAAAAAUAUAAAAUAAAAAAAUGAUUUCGAAUAAUAAUAAAUGAAAUUAGAAAAGCAAAGAAAUAAAAGCAAAAAAGAGAAGAUAAAACAAUUAUAAUAUAUAAGUCGUUCUAAUAAUUGAAUUGAAAAACAAAUGAGAAAAAAAAACAAAAUAUAUAUUAUACCAAUUAUAUUAAAAAAAGAUGAACAAACAUUUACUAUAUUAGUUAUCUCUUCUUAUUACAUAACAAAGAAUAAUAAUAAAAUAGAGUAAAAAAAAAGUAGAUAAAAUUGGAUUUUGAAAAAGAAAAUAAAAGGAAAAAGGAGUUAAAUAAAAUUAAAAAAGGAACAAGAAAUAAAAAAAGGAAAAAAAGGAACCAUUUAGUGUGAAAUUAAUAAUAAUAAUAAUGGGUAAUUACUUCUCUCUAACUUUCUCUCUCUAAAAUCAUCGAGGAUUGCCGCACAUCAAUGGUAAGCUAGCAUGCGCCUCUGCCAGCAUGGGUAGAGGGAGACCAAAGAGAGUGAUUCAGAUCACAAAUUCAAGCAAGGAACCGACAAGUUUGACAAAAGUUGAUGGAAAGGAACAAUUGAGGGGAAUUGAGGACAUGCAAAACUUGCAGAGCUCAAUGGAACAGUUGCAGAGCUCAAACGUGAUAUGGCCGCCUUUGCAUGGAGCGAUUUCAGCUAGAUCACCUUCAAUUGACGAAGGCGAACAUAGACAAACUCUAAAGACAUCGGUGAAGAGUCCAAAUGCAGAGAGAAUUGAGGUUGAAAAGGAGAUUCAUAGGAAAUAGACAAAGCAUAGGGAAGUAAUGAAGCCAAUUACGGAGCAGGAAGUUCAGAUUCAUAAACACUUGGAUGAGGAGUAGCAGAAAAAUAAAAAGGAAUGGGUGAACUUAUUCGCUGGGAGCAAUUUAGCGGCUAGAGGUAUGAACCUCAAAUUUAUUUCUCCUAUGCUAAAAAAUAGAGAAAAAAUAGUUGAACUAGAUAAUGCUGAGAUUGAUCGUGAAACAGUGAAAUGGAACAUGCAAUUAUGUUGUAUGUUGUUGGAGAUUCCCCUUCAAUAGGUGUUUUGGAUCGUUUCAUUACUGCACAAUAAAAUUUUGUCAGUAAACCAAAAAUUAACUUCCAUAAUGAUGCAUAUUUUGUGGUGAAACUCAAUAGUGUGGAAGAUAGGGAUGUUGUGUUGAUGUCAUGGCCACAUACUAUAAGAAAUAAACCUAUAAUUGUCAAAGCAUGAUCGCCUUAUUUUGAUUUUGAUAAGGAAGUACUGCAGACAAUUCCUAUAUGGGUUAAGCUGCCUAAUUUGCCAUUAAACUGCUGGAGUAUGAAUUCACUCAGUAGGAUUGGGAGUGGCUUAGGAGUCCCACUAUAUGCAGAUGAAUGUACAUCUAAAAUUGAGAUGAUUUCUUAUGCAAGGCUACUAGUAGAAAUGGAUGUUACAAAGGAUAUGCCUAGAGUCAUAAAAGUUAUGGAUCCGAUGGGCAAAGUCUUUGAGCAACAUGUUGCUUAUGAUUGGAUACCUGAAUAUUGCCACACUUGUCUUCAAGUUGGCCAUAGUUGCAGGACAACACAGACAGUACCUGAGGGCAAACAGAAGCAGUUAAAACCAAGGAUGGAAUGGAGAAGAAGAACAGAACCAAACAAGGUAGAAAAAGGUGAAAAUGAACAAACUAAGAGUAUGAUAUAGACUACAAGGGCAGUUGAUGAGGCUGAGAAAAUAAUUUAAUGAGAUCUAGCUAAGAGGAAAUUUGUAGCAAAAAGUAGACAGUCUAACAUAAUAGGAGAUCCUCGCAUUAAUGUUGUGAAUGAUUUUAGACCACUUAGCUAUGAGAUAGCUGAUAUAACAGUAGAGAAAGGCCAAUGUAGCUACCAAAGUGAUACUGGGGACCCAAAACCAAAGCAACCAAAUAAAUGAGAAUUAUAUCUUGGAAUGUGAGGGGUGUAAAUAAAGUUUAUAAGCAAAAAGAAGUAAAGAAGUUCAUUAUAAAUAAUAAUGUAGGACUAAUAGCUAUACUAGAGAAUAGAGUAAAGGAAGAGAAUGCUAGUAGAGUGAUAAAUAAGAUUGCAGCAAAUUAGAGAUGGUGUGCAAACUAUCACAUAGCUCUAACGGGAGAAUAUGGAUUAUUUGGGAUCCAAACAGAGUGGAAUUUGAAGUAACAAGCAUGAGUGCUCAGGCCAUUCAUGGUAUAAUUAGUAUCUCUCAGUUGCAACUAAAACUUAAUUUGACAACAGUUUAUGGAAUACAUACUAUUGAGACAAGGAAGGACCUAUGAGAGGAAUUGAAAAGUGCCAAUAAUUCUGUUCAAAGACCAUCUAUUGGAGAUUUUAAUGCUAUAACUGACAUAGAUGACAGAUAGUUUGGUAAUCCAGUUCAGGAGAAUGAGAUCAAGGACUUCAAUGAUUUUUUGCAAGUUAGUGGCAUGACUGAACUACCUGCAAUGGGUAGAAGAUUCACAUGGUCAAAUGGGCAAAUUUGUAGCAGGAUAGAUAGAGCUCUAGUAAAUGCUAAAUGGUUACUUACAGUAGCUGUUACAAAGGUGGUGAUUUUAAACCCUGGGAUUUCAGAUCAUACCCCCUAAGUAUUCAAUUCAAGGAAACUGUGAAAAGGAGUCCAAAGCCUUUCAGAUUCCUUAACUGUCUAGCGGAGCACAAAAACUUUCUAAAUAUGGUGGAAAAUGUUUGGUGUAGGCCAACUGAAAAGAAUCACAUGGCAAACAUAUGGUAGAAACUAAAAGUAUUGAAGAAAUAUUUGAAACAACUGAACCAAAAAGAAUUCAGAAAUGUAGGGGAGAAGAUUGAGUUCUAUCGACAGAAGUUGUAAGAUAUUCAAACAAAAAUGGGAAGCCACACUCAAUCAAAUGUGUUGUUUGCAUAAUAAAAGGAAGUGAAGCUUGAAUUAGAGAAAUGGAACCCAGUGGAGGAAAGUAUUCUUAAACAAAAAUCAAGAAACAAAUAGUUGGAACUAGGAGAUGAUAAUACUGCCUAUUUUUUUGCUAGUUUGAAGAAUAGACAUGCUCAAAACAGGAUCAAAAGCCUUAUUAAUACCAAUGGUGAUAUCCUUCAACAGCUAGAAGACAUAGUAGAGAAGGUGACUAGUUUUUAUAAAAAGCUCCUAGGCAGUGCUGUUGAUCAACUACCAGCAGUAAAUCCUGAGAUCAUGAAGCGUGGAAAUGUACUUACUAGAUAGCACCUAUUACAAUUGAUAGCACAGGUAACUCAUGAUGAAGUAUAUCAAGCCCUUAUGAGUAUAGAUGACCACAAAGCUCCUAGUUGUGAUGGGUUUAAUGCACCCUUCUUAAAAAAAGCUUGGACUGUGAUUGGUAGAGAUGUUACAGUUGUUGUGCUUCAGUUCUUCACAGAUGGGGAUAUAUACAAAGCUAUAAUCUGCACAACAAUAACACUGAUUCCAAAAAUCAAGAACCCAACAAAGAUAUUUGAAUUUAGACUUAUAGCUUGUUGUACUAUGUUGUAUAAACUGAUCUCCAAAAUCCUUACUAAUCAUAUGCAGGGCGUUAUGGACAGUCUUGUGGAUAAAAGCCAAUCUGCUUUUGUCCAGGAAGGUUAAUCAUUGAUAAUAUUAUAUUGAGCCAUGAACUGAUGAAGGGGUAUGGAAGCAAGGGUAUCACUCCUAGAUGUAUGUUAAAAAUAGACAUGAGGAAAACCUACGACUCAGUGGAAUGACCAUAUAUUAAGCAAAUCCUAAACUGCCUAUAGUUUCCAGCAAAGUUUCUCAAAUGGAUCAUGUGCUGCAUUACAAUUGUUUCAUACUCAAUCCUUCCCAAUGGUGAACCAGUGUUACCCUAGAAAAAGGUUGAGACAAGGGGAUCUUCUCUUCCCUUUUUUAUUUGUCCUUGCCAUGGAAUAUUCAGCAGAAGUUUAAAGGGGCUUGUCACACCUCCUUUUAACCUACACCUCCGGGAAGGGAGUAUAAGAGAGUUUUUUCCAACUUAAAGUGACAAUCGAAAAGGAAUUAUUUAUUUAUUAAAAAUUAGAGUCGUCACUUGGGAUAAUUUAUGGUGUCCUAAGUUACCGGUUUAAAUUCCGAAUCGAGGAAAAGAUUGACUCUGUAUUACAGUCCACGAACACAGAAAUCCGGGUAAGGAAUUCUGUUAACCCGUGAGAAGGUGUUAGGCAUUCCCGAAUUCCGUGGUUCUAGCACGGUCGCUCAACUGUUAUAAUUGGCCUAUCAUCUGAUUUUAAUAUAUGUUUUAACCUAUUGUGUAAUUUUAAACUUUAUAGCCGCUUUUAUUUAAAUAUUUUUUAGAGAGAUUCAACGUCAUCUAAAAUACAUCUUGAACUACGUCACAUAAAUGCACCCGCAGUCCACGAUACAUUUUAUCUAACGUUUUUGAGAUUUGGAUUUGGGUCAUAUAAAUGCGCACUCGAGUUUAAGGAAAUUAAUUACGCGCCUAAAAUAACUACGCACUUUCAAGUUUGCAAUUUUGCGAGGGCCAUGGUAAUUUUGCUAAAUGGCGUGCUUCAAUUUCUAAGGAUAAAAUAAAAUUAAUUAAAACAAAGGUCAUGCAAUUGAGAUUUUUGUUCGGCACGGCACACUUCGAUUUAUUCUAACUUUUAGAUCCUAUUGUGAGGACCAUAACUAUUUCCUAUUUAAUACAGCACACUUCACCAUGUAAUUAGUGAAAAUCCAAUUAAUUAAAGGAAAGAAUUAUCAAUACUAUUUAGGUGAAAAGCUCAGACCCAUUUAAAAUUAAUAGACCAACACCAGGGCUUUCAACCAAGCCCAACGUGAGCCCAAGGCUUUAGAGAAUCAGAUACAGACUAAGGCCGGACUCGAGAUCGAGUCUCCCAGCAUGUGAAGGCAUUAGAAUAUUUGUGCACAAUCCCUUUAAUGCGGAGAAGGUCACUAGCAAUCUCAAAUGGUCUUGAUUUCAUUAAUUGGGCCAACGCGGGGCCUAAGUUUUCUGAACCCGUCUUUAUACACAAUGAAUUAAUUAUAAAUCAAUCAAGACAUUACGUGAAGCAUGAGAUAAAACUAACUCUUUACUUAUGGAUUCAAGUUAUUCAAGUACAAGAUAACUAAUUAGCCAUUCAGAAAUUCCAACACCAUUUCUAAUCAAAAAUGCCCAUGCAUAACUAAUUAAAAAAAUGCACCUGCCAUUUAUAUCUCCAAUUAAUUAAUGAACUCAAAUCGAAAUAGGCACGUUCCAAAUACUAUCAAAGUCCUUCAAGCUAACAUACAGAUCACUUGGAUCUCAACAAGAUACCCAAACUAUCACUCCCACAGAUUCAUACUCUAACAGAGAGGUCAAUAUUAUUUGUGGAAAACAAACUUUGAUUUAACACUAUUAAGCGAACAUAUUUACUCAACAGACCCUAAGACUACUCCAUACAAUCCCUAACAGAAAGCUCUAGCACAAAUUGAAUGAAUGAACACCAAACAGAGUCUAAUUACAAGUCCCAAAAUAAAUCUCAAAGGUUCAUGGCAUAACAUUAUUUUACACCUACUAGAACAGAAGACAUGGACUAACAAAUCAAAUGAAAAUGAACAACAGAGAAAGACAUCUAGCAAGUAACAAGAAUCUUCAUUUCUUCAUAAUACUUGAAACCUCUUUACAUGUCUAGAAUCAAGAUGUGUACAUGGAAUUGAAAAAAGAAAUAAGGAGAAUAUGAAUUUAAUCAACAGCAGCAGUAGAGUCAGCCCAGAAAUAACCAAUGAAACCAGCUUUUAACCAAACUUUGAAUCAGCAGAAAUAUCAACUGAUGCCCAGCGAAAAAAACAACCAAAAUUUGAACCAAACUUUUUAAGACCAACCAAAAUCAAAUCAAUUUUAGCCCCUGAUGGUUCAGAGAUUGUUUCAGAAGUGAGAGCCUUAAGAAUUACAGAAAUUUUCAAUGAAACGGUAAUUUUUUUCUAGCUGUUUUUGAUUUUCUGUAUUUUUUUAAUUUUUCGUCUGUCUUGAAUGGCAAGUAAGUGUGCCUUUAUAGGCAAGAAAGUAGGGUAGCCUAAAGAAAUCAUAUUUUGCAUUUAGACCCUUUUGGAAUUUUGGUUCUUGCUUAGAAAUCCUUAGUGUAAAGAUCAGAAUUUCAGAUUAAUCCCCACCCCCAGCUUCCUAGAAGCUUCCUAAUCUGUUACACCAAAUAUUUCCUAAGCCAAUUUCCUAAACUAACCCCCUCAAACCCCUGAAAUUACCCUCAGCAAAUUACAUGGGUCAAACUGACCCAGUGGCCUAAUUUGAUACGGGUUUACAACCCAAGUUUAAUUCCCUCUUGGGCUUCUGAUUUUUCAGAUCCCAAUUCGCAACCAGACAUCCACAAUUCAACAUCUUAAGAAACUGACCAAGUCCUCCCAAAAGAAAGAAAUUCGAAAACCUUUCUUUAAAAUGCAGCCCAGACCAAAACAAACGUGAAUGAACUAAUUACCCUAACUACAUAAAAGGAAAAUAACCAAGUUAUGGACUUAGUUUAAUUAAACUAGGUGAUUAACAGAAUAACAACCAGAAAUUAAGAUGUGCUUAACAAACUACAGAAAUCAAAGAAACGAAUUUGGAAAAAUAAAGCGAAUGAGGGAUAAAGCACAUAACUUAGUCUUUAACCAGAAAAUUUUGGUCACACUUCAGUUGAAGUGACCAAAAAAAAUAGAAGGAAGGAUGAGAGGGGACGAGGAUUAAAAUGAGACCAACCCUGGACAAAGAAGGAAAGGAGAACUUACCGACCAAAGAGCUCAAAACCAGGACUUCGACCCUCUGAUUUCAUCUCCAAAUAAUGUUAAUUGCUCGUUCAUUGCCAGGAACAAGCGAGCAACAUCAUUUUGAGACAAAAUCGACCCCGAACAUUAAGAAAUCGCUGGAGGAAGAUCCUUGCAUGAAUAAAUCUGACUUGAUUUCUAAAGCUCGAACCCUAAUUCUGAGAUUCGAGAAGUUUUGGCCUUAGUUGAGGGGAAUGAAGUGGGGAUUUGGGAAGGGGAGAGUGAGGGGGUCAUGGGGUGUUAAUUUGGGGCUGAUUGGUAGUGGUGCCGCCACCCUAAGGCGGUGGGAGAAGAGGUGUGGCUGCUAGGGUUUCAAGAGGGUCUCUGAGAUGAGGGUGAGAGAGAGAUGAGUGAGAUAGGGGGGAGGGGGUAACAUUUUUGGAUAGUUUAAUAUUAAACUCUCCCCAGAUCCGAUCCGUUCGAUCAGAUUAGCUCAACGGUUGAGAUGAAAGGAACUGGAACGACGUCGUUUGGUUGAACAAAGAGACGGACCGAGUGUGAGGUGGAGUUGGGCCGGAUCUGAGUGGGUAUUUGGGAAUUUUAAUUAGGCUGGGGGAAAACGCAUUGAUUUUGGCCCAAAACAGAUUUUCCACUUCUAUUUCCUUUUCCUUUUCAAAAAUCUUUUUAAUCCCUUUUUUUUAAAACGAAAAUAAAAUAAAGUGAAACCUAAUUUAAUUCCUAACCCAUAUUAUCCUAGAAAAUUAAAUUAAUUAACCCUAAUAAUUAUUACAACUAAUUAAAUACCAAAUUAAAUGGAAAACCAACAAAAAUUCAAAUCUAAAAAUUGAACAAAGAUUAAAUUAAUCUUAAAAUGACACCAACCCUGGACAAAGAAGGAAAGGAGAACUUACCGACCAAAGAGCUCAAAACCAGGACUUCGACCCUCUGAUUUCAUCUCCAAAUAACGUUAAUUGCUCGUUCUUUGCCAGGAACAAGCGAGCAACAUCAUUUUGAGACUAAAUCGACCCCGAACAUUAAGAAAUCGCUGGAGGAAGAUCCUUGCAUGAAUAAAUCCGACUUGAUUUCUAAAGCUCGAACCCUAAUUCUGAGAUUCGAGAAGUUUUGGCCUUAGUUGAGGGGAAUGAAGUGGGGAUUUGGGAAGGGGAGAGUGAGGGGGUCAUGGGGUGUUAAUUUGGGGAUGAUUGGUAGUGGUGCCGCCACCCUAAGGCGGUGGGAGAAGAGGGGCGACUGCUAGGGUUUCAAGGGGGUCUCUGAGAUGAGGGUGAGAGAGAGAUGAGUGAGAUAGGGGGAGGGGGUAACAUUUUUGGACAGUUUAAUAUUAAACUCUCCCCAUAUCCGAUCCGUUUGAUUAGAUUAGUUCAACGGUUGAGAUGAAAGGAACUGGAACGACGUCGUUUGGUUGAACAAAGAGACGGACCGAGUGUGAGGUGGAGUUGGGCCGGAUCUGAGCGAGUAUUUGGGAAUUUUAAUUGGACUGGAGGAAAACGCAUUGAUUUUGGCCCAAAACGCAUUGACUGGAGGAAAACGCAUUGAUUUUCCUCUUCUAUUUCUUAGCGGGUAUUUGGAACAACGUCGUUUGGUUGAACAAAGAGACGGACGACGUCCUCUUCCUUUUCCUUUUCAAAAUUCUUUUUAAUCCCUUUUUUUAAAAUGAAAAUAAAAUAAAGUGAAACCUAAUUUAAUUCCUAACCCAUAUUAUCCUAGAAAAUUAAAUUAAUUAACCCUAAUAAUUAUUACAACUAAUUAAAUACCAAAUUAAAUGGAAAACCAACAAAAAUUCAAAUCUAAAAAUUGAACCAUGCAAAAUAAACUAUUUUUGUGAUUUUCCAAUUUUAUAAAACAACUAAUUGCCAAUUAAUCCUAAAAUGUAGAAUUAAAUCCUAAAAUGCAAAUGCAACAUAUUUUUGUAUUUUUCAUCAAUUAAACAAAAUUAACAUGCACAGACAAAUGCAAACAAUUAACGAAAAAUGCCAUAAAAAUCCAUGAAAUUGUAAACAACGGAAAAAAAUUAUUUUGUUUUAAAUUUGUGGGAGUAAUUCGUAUAGGGCAAAAAUCACGUGCUCACAGCUGCCCCUCUUUGCUUGGAAACACGAAAAGUUUUCGUGCAAAGAUAAAGUGAGCGGAUACGAGCGAUUUUUGCCUGUUUGAAUACUCCAUGGGAAGCAUAUUUAAAAGAUUUGAUCGCACCCUACUUCCGAGGUUGCCUACAUAUCCUUGGCUAUAAAGGAAUUAGGUUAGUGUAGUUCAGAAAGUUUUGGUAGAUGGGACUACCAUGAGCUGUGAUUUCACUGCUGCUGCUGCUGCUACUGCUUACUGAACCCCUUAUUACACCAUGUCAAAAUUAAAAGAAGCUAGACUAACCUAUGAUCUAUGCAUUACAAGAAUCCUAUCAAUAUCUUCAAACUUGAUCUUGUAAUUCCUGUUGACUUGUAUUUUCUAGAUGAAGUCCCUUUGUUGCCGACUUGAAUUGUGAUCUGAGACACUUUCCCUUUUUUCAGGUGGACGCCUGAUUGCUGAACUCGAAUUACAAUCUGAGAUGCUUUCCCUUUCUCCAGGUGGAUGCCUGACUGCUGAACUUGAACUGUAUUCCCGUGCUCUCCAGGUGGGCGCCUGACUGUUGAAUUUGAACUGUAUUCCCGUGCUCUCCAGGUGGGCGCCUGACUGUUGAAUUNN
rnacentral:lncRNA from 1 species